rnacentral:rRNA from 1 species
AUUGAACGCUGGCGGCAGGCCUAACACAUGCAAGUCGAGCGAGCGGGGGACGGGUGAGAAUUAUCUGGGAAACUGCCGGAUGGAGGGGGAUAACUACUGGAAACGGUAGCUAAUACCGCAUACCAUCAAAGGUGCCCAGAUGGGAUUAGCUAUGGGUUGGGGUAACGGCUCACCUAGGCGACGAUCCCUAGCUGGUCUGAGAGGAUGACCAGCGACACUGGAACUGAGACAGAGUCCAGACUCCUACGGGAGACAGCAGUAGGGAAUAUUGCACAAUGGGCGCAACCCUGAUGCAGCCAUCCCGCGUGAGUGAGUAAGGCCUUAGGGUUGUAAAGCUCUUUCCGCGGAGAGGCGUUACCCGCAGAAGAAGCACCGGCUAACUCCGUGCCAGCCGCCGCGGUAAUAC